CAAUAGCGUAUAUUUAAGUUGCUGCAGUUAAAAAGCUCGUAGUUGGAUUUCGGAUGGGAUUUGCCGGUCCGCCGUUUCGGUGUGCACUGGCCAGUCCCAUCUUGUUGUCGGGGACUAGCUCCUGGGCUUCACUGUCCGGGACUAGGAGCUGACGAGGUUACUUUGAGUAAAUUAGAGUGUUCAAAGCAAGCCUACGCUCUGAAUACAUUAGCAUGGAAUAACAUGAUAGGACUCUGGCUUAUCUUGUUGGUCUGUGAGACCAGAGUAAUGAUUAAGAGGGACAGUCGGGGGCAUUCGUAUUUCAUUGUCAGAGGUGAAAUUCUUGGAUUUAUGAAAGACGAACUUCUGCGAAAGCAUUUGUCAAGGAUGUUUUCAUUA
rnacentral:rRNA from 1 species